CUUGGUCUAUAUUAAGUAUAAUAUUAUUUAAAUCCUAGGUAAAGCAUAGAUCACUUUAUCCAGGAGCGAAGGUUUAGCAACUGGGGGCUCAACAGGGUUAGUGGCAGCAAACUCUGAGGAAGCAUUAGUUGUGGUAGCUAGAGGGUCUUAACUGGUACGAAUGGAGGGUUCUCAUGCAACCUCCUCGCAUGGUUUGUUAGCCAUAUCUUCAACAACAUUCUCCUUUGAACCUCCUUCUGAUUCAUUCUGGGGGUACAAGGGGGAGAAAAAUAUUUCCCGACAUUUUAGCUUGAAACCUCUCCCAAGCCUCAUUGAAGGGUUCAUAACAUCAAAAGAUAACUCCUCGACCUUAACAAUACUAAUGCAAGCUCUCUAAUUGACCUUAGACAAAUCCAAUGGCCUAUGAGCUACUUGAGAAACCAAAAUAAAGCUAUCCCUCAUAAGGGGACCUAGAGGAGUACUCGUAGAAAGCCCCAGAAUGGUUGAGGGAGUAGUAGUGUUUGAAGGGUCUGCAAAAUCAACACAAUUUAAGCCAACAAUAUGAUCAAUAAACCUAAGAAAUUAAAAACAAAUUAUAGAUUAAAAGACAAACCCGAAGAGGGAAUGACAAUAGAAAUUUCAUAGCUCACUUGGGCUAGACUGACCCUUAAAGUAGUUCCAUU
rnacentral:lncRNA from 1 species